GAUGAACGCUGGCGGCGUGCCUAAUGCAUGCAAGUCGAGCGAACAGACGAGGAGCUUGCUCCUCUGACGUUAGCGGCGGACGGGUGAGUAACACGUGGAUAACCUACCUAUAAGACUGGGAUAACUUCGGGAAACCGGAGCUAAUACCGGAUAAUAUAUUGAACCGCAUGGUUCAAUAGUGAAAGACGGUUUUGCUGUCACUUAUAGAUGGAUCCGCGCCGCAUUAGCUAGUUGGUAAGGUAACGGCUUACCAAGGCGACGAUGCGUAGCCGACCUGAGAGGGUGAUCGGCCACACUGGAACUGAGACACGGUCCAGACUCCUACGGGAGGCAGCAGUAGGGAAUCUUCCGCAAUGGGCGAAAGCCUGACGGAGCAACGCCGCGUGAGUGAUGAAGGUCUUCGGAUCGUAAAACUCUGUUAUUAGGGAAGAACAAAUGUGUAAGUAACUAUGCACGUCUUGACGGUACCUAAUCAGAAAGCCACGGCUAACUACGUG
rnacentral:rRNA from 1 species